rnacentral:lncRNA from 1 species
AAUAGCUUCAUGCCAGCAAAUGGCCUCACUGUGGCCCAAAACCAGGUGUUGAAUUUGAUUAAGGCUUGUCCAAGACCUGAAGGGUUGAACUUUCAGGAUCUCAAGAACCAGCUGAAACACAUGUCUGUAUCCUCAAUCAAGCAAGCUGUGGAUUUUCUGAGCAAUGAGGGGCACAUCUAUUCUACUGUGGAUGAUGACCAUUUUAAAUCCACAGAUGCAGAAUAACUGGAUCUAACUGGGUACCUGAGAUAUUUUACAGCUGGACCUAGUUUCACAAUCUGUUGUCUCCAGCUCUGCAUAUGUCUGGCCAGGGGGCUUCUAGGAAGUAGGUUUCAUCUAUCAAAUGUCUCCUCUGACUUCCUUUUGAAACUUACUGCUCUUCUGUUUUAUUUUGUUUUGUUUGAAGCUCAGAGGGAGAUGGGCAAUUGACAGGGAUGCAAUCCAGGGUGGGAUUUCUUGAGGAAGUUACAAAUAAGCUUGUUACAACAUCAAGAUAGAUGGAAUUGGAAGGAUGCUACCAGGAGAGUACUUACAUAGUGCUCAGGAGUUUCUCUUCUUAAAAUGUUUACUGCUGAAAGAUGAGCAGGACCAGGGCGUUAUAGGCAGAGCCCUAGCCGAGAAACCUGCUGGCCUCUGCCUGUUUUCAUUUCCCACUUUGGUUGUGUGGCAUUACUUUCAGAAUUGCACUUUCCUGCUUGUCAUGACUUUUUGACACACUUGCCAUGACGUGUGUUUCUGUGAACAUGAAGUUCUGCGGUAGUGCCUCCAGGGGCAGAGGAAAAGAAGAAGUGUUACUGCAUUUUGUACAAAAUAAAUACAGUCAUAUGUUUAAUAAAACAGUUCUA